ACCUACUUGACUCAGCAGUUAGAGUAUCGCUUUCAUACAGCGAGAGUCAUUGGUUCAAAUCCAAUAGUAGGUA
rfam:Triticum aestivum genome assembly, contig: Triticum_aestivum_CS42_TGACv1_scaffold_130724_2BL